CCUACGGGAGGCAGCAGUGGGGAAUAUUUGGCAAUGGGCGCCAGCCUGACCCAGCAACGCCGCGUGAAGGAAGAAGGCUUUCGGGUUGUAAACUUCUUUUGUCAGGGAAGAGUAGCAGACGUUACCUGACGACUAAGCCACUGCUAACUACGUGCCAGCAAGCGCGGUAAUACUUAGGUGGCAAACGUUAUCCGGCUUUACUGGGAGUAAAGGGACCGUAGGCGGCAGUGCAAGGCUGAAGUUAAAGACCGCGGACUAAAUGCCGGACUGCUUUGGAAACUGCCCGGCUAGAGUGCUGGAGAGGUAAGCGGAAUUCCUAGUGUAGCGGUGAAAUGCGUAGAUAUUAGGAGGAACACCAGUGGCGAAGGCGGCUUACUGGACAGUAACUGACGUUGAGGCACGAAAGCGUGGGGAGCAAACAGGAUUAGAUACCCUAGUAGUC
rnacentral:rRNA from 1 species